rnacentral:lncRNA from 1 species
UCAUAAAGUCGGAUUAGGUCCUUAGGUUGACAUGAUUCUACAUAUGGGGUUUAAUCAACUCAAUCUACAACACUUAUAAAAUUAUAAGCUCAAUUGAUCUAAUCCAAAUCAAUACUUGACUUGAUUUGAUCAAUAGCCACAUCAAUUUCAAUUCAAUAUGAUCUAAUUGUAACCUAAGAUACAAUUCAUUGACCUAAUACAAAACUAUCCAUGCCC